rnacentral:rRNA from 1 species
AUUGAACGCUGGCGGCAGGCCUAACACAUGCAAGUCGAGCGGAUGAUGGGAGCUUGCUCCUUGAUUCAGCGGCGGACGGGUGAGUAAUGCCUAGGAAUCUGCCUGGUAGUGGGGGACAACGUUUCGAAAGGAACGCUAAUACCGCAUACGUCCUACGGGAGAAAGCAGGGGACCUUCGGGCCUUGCGCUAUCAGAUGAGCCUAGGUCGGAUUAGCUUGUUGGUGAGGUAAUGGCUCACCAAGGCGACGAUCCGUAACUGGUCUGAGAGGAUGAUCAGUCACACUGGAACUGAGACACGGUCCAGACUCCUACGGGAGGCAGCAGUGGGGAAUAUUGGACAGUGGGCGAAAGCCUGAUCCAGCCAUGCCGCGUGUGUGAAGAAGGUCUUCGGAUUGUAAAGCACUUUAAGUUGGGAGGAAGGGUUGUAGAUUAAUACUCUGCAAUUUUGACGUUACCGACAGAAUAAGCACCGGCUAACUCUGUGCCAGCCGCCGCCGUAACAC